ACGGAAGUUGCGUGGGAAAGGUUAUCUGAUUAUAAUCUAAAGUGAAACAUGGACGAUCCCCUUUUGAUUAUGACCAUCUUGUUUGCGCUAGUUUUGUGGUAUCCGUUGAAGUAUUUAAUGCGGAAGUUUUGCUUCUAGUAGGUAAUGAUCAAGAGGAAUCCCUGGAUGAUCUCAGAAAAGUUGAAAGAUUUUCAGUAAUUUUAAGAUCACUGACUGGCUGGCAGGCUGGCACGAGCACUAGGCGACUUCACCGGUUUCUCAAGAUGACCCACUUCAGGAAGGUCAACCACUCGAGCAUGACUCGAUCCGGAAACACCAAACCCAAAAACUGUACUCCUCAACUAUAAUAAAAACCGCGCAAUCCAGUCGCAAUUAAUACAAAAUACGGCAUGCAAAGCGCACACCUUGUCAAUUAACACCUUCAGUAGUAAUCCGAGCGUUGAUGUGCCUAUUCAUUAAAUCUCGACACGGGACCGGGGAAAACCACUCUAACUGGUAGCGAAACUUCAAUCCAUGAACGAUCCCAACAGAAUCAAACGAACAACUGAAAAGCGUCUACCUCUGCGUACUGGACUUAACUGCCUACGGAACAUGCUGAGUGCUACUUGAUCUUUCUUACCACAUAUCUUAAGGGUGCAAGAUCGAGUGAGCUCCCGGUCAGGUUCUCUCUUUCUCUGCCGUCUCUCAUUUCCUAAUCCUUCGCCCAUCGAUCCAUCUCUCAUUCUCUUCCUCCCAACGUGAGUUCCACCCAAAAACGCAAACACUCUCGCUCGCCUGCCGUUUUCCAUUCUUUAACCUGUGCGCGCAGCGCACCGAGAAAAACAGAACCAGCAAAGAGCCUUAGAACUUUAGCCGGUAACUCAUCCAUUUUUUAUGCUCUCACAAAUCCGAAGCAACAACUGUCGUCUCGCUCUUUCCUUCGAUCAGUCACCUUCCUUCUCUUAUUCCCAUCGCGAUCACCGUUCAGAACCGUUCUUCCUCCUCCGCACAACGCCGGUGGACAUCUUCCUUCCGCAGCUAACUAGCUAACUAGCUGGAUUCAACCAAAAGGGUUCCAACCACCAAUCGAGCAGGGUUCCAUUUGGACCUCUCAUCUCAACGACACGAGGCGCGUGUAUGUCUGCGUUCGAUCGAUCCAC